AGUACGGCGAGUGAGAGGAAGAGCUCAAAGUUGGAACCUGUUUGGCCUAGCUAAACCGGAUGAAGACUGUAGAAGUGUUUUCCAGGCAAGCCGAGUAAAUAAGUCCUUUGGAACAGGGCAUCAUAGAGGGUGAGAAUCCCGUCUUUGGCUUGAGCAUUUGCCUUUUGUGAUACGCUUUCAAAGAGUCAGGUUGUUUGGGAAUGCAGCCUAAAUUGGGUGGUAAAUCUCACCUAAAGCUAAAUAUUGGCGAGAAACCGAUAGCGAACAAGUACCGUGAGGGAAAGAUGAAAAGAACUUUGAAAAGAGAGUUAAACAGUAUGUGAAAUUGUUAAAAGGGAACCGUUUGGAGCCAGACUGGCUUGUCUGUAAUCAAUCUAGGCUUCGGCCUGGAUGCACUUGCAGGCUAUGCCUGCCAACGACAAUUUGACUUGAGGGAAAAAACUAGGGGAAAUGUGGCCCACUUGUGGGUGUUAUAGUCCCUUAGAAAAUACCUUGGGUUGGAUUGAGGAACGCAGCGAAUGCUUAUUGGCGAGUUUUCCAGGAAGGUUUUCUGAGGUACUACGGUAUCAAGGUUGAUCUUUUUGGUUAUACUUCUAUUCGCUUAGGUUGUUGGCUU
rnacentral:rRNA from 1 species